rnacentral:rRNA from 1 species
GACGAACGCUGGCGGCGUGCUUAACACAUGCAAGUCGAACGGAAAGGCCCUGCUUUUGUGGGGUGCUCGAGUGGCGAACGAGUGAGUAACACGUGAGUAACCUGCCCUUGACUUUGGGAUAACUUCAGGAAACUGGGGCUAAUACCGGAUAGGAGCUCCUGCUGCAUGGUGGGGGUUGGAAAGUUUCGGCGGUUGGGGAUGGACUCGCGGCUUAUCAGCUUGUUGGUGGGGUAGUGGCUUACCAAGGCUUUGACGGGUAGCCGGCCUGAGAGGGUGACCGGCCACAUUGGGCCUGAGAUAGGGCCCAGACUCCUACGGGGGGCAGCAGUGGGAAAUAUUGCACAAUGGGCGGAAGCCUGAUGCAGCAACGUCGCGUGCGGGAUGACGGCUUUCGGGUUGUAAAAAGCUUUAGACUGUGACGAAGCGUGAGUGACGGUAAUGGGUAAAGAAGCACCGGCUAACUACGUG